rnacentral:rRNA from 1 species
GACGAACGCUGGCGGCGUGCUUAACACAUGCAAGUCGAACGGAAAGGCCCUGCUUUUGUGGGGUGCUCGAGUGGCGAACGGGUGAGUAACACGUGAGUAACCUGCCCUUGACUUUGGGAUAACUUCAGGAAACUGGGGCUAAUACCGGAUAGGAGCUCCUGCUGCAUGGUGGGGGUUGGAAAGUUUCGGCGGUUGGGGAUGGACUCGCGGCUUAUCAGCUUGUUGGUGGGGUAGUGGCUUACCAAGGCUUUGACGGGUAGCCGGCCUGAGAGGGUGACCGGCCACAUGGGGAUGGAGAUACGGCCCAGACUCCUACGGGAGGCAGCAGUGGGGAAUAUUGCACAAGGGGCGGAGGCCUGAUGCAGAAACGCCGCGUGCGGGAUGACGGCCUUCGGGUGGUAAACCGCUUUCGCCUGUGACGAAGCGUGAGUGACGGUAAUGGGUAAAGAAGCACCGGCAAACUACGU